rnacentral:tRNA from 1 species
CCCCGGGUGGUGUAAUGGUAACAUAUGGCCGCGGCGACUAUCUGGGUUCAAAUCCCAGCCCCGGGA